UGUAGAACUUCAGAUGGGUGGACAAGAGUCGCUUCAACUACCACAACUGGUCCCCUCAGCUAAGACCUGACAUUAACCCGUGUGUCUACGUUCAGGCGAUGGAGGACGGCUGGAGCAAUUGUGACUGUGGUGUUUUAAGGCAUUCCAUCUGCAUGAGGACAACUGACAGCUGCUGAAACUGAAUCAGAGUCUUCACAGAGUGGUGGAGGACAUGUCGGAUAAGUGUCAGCAAAAACAGCUCCAUUUGAUUUAAAAAGAACCUCAUAAUCUUUGACAGAAGAGAUGUGUUUUAUAAGAGAAUGUUAGAAUGUCAUGCUGGACAUAUGAAACUAAACACUUCCUCCCUUUUUGUCUAGAGGCACAGGCCCAGUGUUUAUUUCUCUUUCUUUACAAUAAAUACAUGUUGAACUGACAUGAUGUGUGAGAAAUCAAAUCACAUGCAAUUAAUAAAGACAUGUAUUUUGA